rnacentral:rRNA from 1 species
GACGAACGCUGGCGGCGUGCUUAACACAUGCAAGUCGAACGGAAAGGCCCUGCUUUUGUGGGGUGCUCGAGUGGCGAACGGGUGAGUAACACGUGAGUAACCUGCCCUUGACUUUGGGAUAACUUCAGGAAACUGGGGCUAAUACCGGAUAGGAGCUCCUGCUGCAUGCUGGGGGUUGGAAAGUUUCGGCGGUUGGGGAUGGACUCGCGGCUUAUCAGCUUGUUGGUGGGGUAGUGGCUUACCAAGGCUUUGACGGGUAGCCGGCCUGAGAGGGUGACCGGCCACAUUGGGACUGAGAUACGGCCCAGACUCCUACGGGAGGCAGCAGUGGGGAAUAUUGCACAAUGGGCGGAAGCCUGAUGCAGCAACGCCGCGUGCGGGAUGACGGCCUUCGGGUUGUAAACCGCUUUCGCCUGUGCCGAAGCGUGAGUGACGGUAAUGGGUAAAGAAGCACCGGCUAACUACGUG